rnacentral:rRNA from 1 species
CACGUAGUUAGCCGGCGCUUUCUCUGCAGGUACCGUCAAUCUCUCUUCUUCCCUGCUAACAGAGGUUUACAACCCGAAGGCCGUCAUCCCUCACGCGGCGUCGCUGCAUCAGGCUUGCGCCCAUUGUGCAAUAUUCCCCACUGCUGCCUCCCGUAGGAGCCUGGGCCGUGUCUCAGUCCCAGUGUGGCCGGUCACCCUCUCAGGCCGGCUACCCGUCGUCGCCUUGGUGAGCCGUUACCUCACCAACAAGCUGAUAGGCCGUGAGCCCAUCUAUAACCACUACAUAACGCCUUCCACCAACACCCCAUGCGGAGAUUGGUCGUAUCCGGUAUUAGACCCAGUUUCCCAGGCUUAUCCCAGAGUUAAAGGUAGGUUACUCACGUAUUACUCACCCGUUCGCCACUAAUCCACCUAGCAAGCUAGGCUUCAUCGUUCGACUUGCAUGUGUUAAGCACGCCGCCAGCGUUCGUCCUCGAGCCAGGAGUCAAACUACU